rnacentral:rRNA from 1 species
CUCUGCGCAAGGGAUCUUUUGGUUCGCUAGACCAAGAAGGGCGCAGCGGAAUGCGAAAUGUGCAGGAGCAGCAGCGAAGAUAGCACAUGCCUGAAAUCACGAGAGUGAGACUACCCCUUUGAAUUAAGCAUAUGAGUAAAGGGAGGAAAAGAAACUAACAAGGAUUCCU